AAAUACUCAAAGUAGUUUUUAUUUUUAUUUGUGAGGAGCUCCGGCCAGGUCCAUCAUCGACAGAGACCUCAUUUACCUUUUUACAUUAGUAGUUUUAGCCCCAGAAAUUUUCCAUUCUAAUCAAGUUCGGACAGACCGAAGUUUCGAGCCAUUCGAGAGAUGAAUUUGAAAAAUUCCAAGUUUUACAAACGCAUCCAGGAGUUGCGACGCUUUUCGAAGGAGAAGAUUCGUAAGGACCGAGAGCAGCGCACCAGCGCUCGGCUGGACAUGGCCCUCAGCGAGCAACGUCCCCGCCAUGAGUCUGACCUCGAGUGGUCCAGUUCCCCCCGCCGUCGUUCCAAGAAGACCAAGGGCAAGAAGAAGGCGGCCUCCCGUCUGUCAGGUGGCAAGGACACGCACUGCUCUAGCCCCGUAGGCGACGAGAUUCCGCCGGAGGCUGGGAUCCAGAGCUACAUCCAGCUGAACGACAAGUGCUAUCGGCUGGCCUGCGCUAGGCAGGUGCCUGUCAAAUCCUCGCGAGAUGAUGACCGCUCCAUUAGCGAGUCCAAAAGCGCCAUUUGCGUGUCCAACUCACGCUACGCGAUGAUCGGCAGGAUAUCCAAGACCCUCGGAUACAAGCUGGUCAAGGAGACCAAACUGUGGAACAUUCUCUGGUCGGACUCGUUCCCCAGCGUAGAGCUCUUCAAGAACAUGAAGCGCUUUCAGCAGAUCAACCACUUUCCCGGCAUGAUCGAGAUUUGUCGCAAGGAUCUGCUCUCGCGCAACCUCAACCGCAUGUUCAAGGUGUAUCCACACGACUACAAGAUCUUCCCCAAAACCUGGAUGCUGCCAGCGGACUAUGGGGAUGCCAUGAACUAUGCUCUGACCCACAAGCGGACGUUCAUUUUAAAGCCGGACUCGGGAGCCCAGGGACGCGGCAUCUGGCUGACCAACGAUCUGAAGACCAUCGGGGCCAACGAGCGGCUCAUCUGCCAGACCUACGUCCACCGACCCCUUCUCAUCGAUGGCUACAAGUUCGAUCUGCGGGUCUAUACACUCAUUACAUCGGUGGAUCCGCUGCGUAUCUUCGUGUACAACGAGGGCCUGGCCCGGUUCGCCACGAACAAGUACGUGGAGCCCACGCCGGGCAACUCCCACGACCUGUUCAUGCACCUCACGAACUAUUCGGUGAACAAAAGGAACUCCCACUACGAGCUGUGCGACAACGACGACUGCGGCAGCAAGCGGAAGCUGAGCGCCAUCAACAACUGGAUGCGCAGGCACAACUACGAUGUGGAGGAGUUCUGGACGAACGUUGACGAUGUGAUCAUCAAGACGGUGCUCAGUGCCUGGCCCGUGCUAAAGCACAACUACCACGCCUGCUUCCCGGGCCACGACAAGAUCCAGGCCUGCUUCGAGAUACUCGGAUUCGACAUUCUGGUGGACUGGAAGCUGAAGCCCUACAUCCUGGAGGUCAAUCACUCGCCCAGCUUCCACACCAACGAGCAGGUGGAUCGCGAAGUCAAGCGUCCUCUCAUCCGGGACACCCUCAAUCUGGUCAGCGCUGUGCUGGCGGACAAGAAGCAGAUCAUGCGCGAGGAUCGCAAGCGUGUCAAGCAGCGCCUCCUCAAGGCCAAGGGCGAGACAUUGCAGCGUCCCCGUGUCUGCAGUGGAUCCACAAAGACAGAAUGCAGCCCGAAAAAGGUUGAGCCCGAGGAGGACCAGGACCCGCUGGCCCAACAAGUCGCCUGGGAGGACAGUCACAUGGGAAACUUUCGCAGGAUCAUGCCUCCGCCCGACGGCACCAAGGCCGAGUACUACAGCCAGUUCUAUGGCCAGACCAAUCAGGUGUCCAUCUUCGCCGAGACGGCGGCCAGCAAGAAGCGGGAGGAUCUUGCCCGCAAGAUGCGCCUCCAGAUCGAGGAGAAGAAGGCCAAGCAGGACCAGAUGCUGCAUGGACGCAACAAGACCGACAAGCGCAAGCGUCAGCUCGUCAUCCUGCCGCGAGCUGUGCGCGAGAAAAACCGCGUCCAGCUCUACCGCCUGCAGGAGCACUGGGUGCCGGGCUUCAUCUCCGAGGCGGAGGAACGGCUGCGCCACACCUGGCUCCAAAUGCGCACUGAAGCGAUCAAGACGCUGCGGAUCACCGAGAAUGUCUAUGCCACGCUGUACGAGGCGGGCAACCUGACCAACACGGACAUGGUCGUUUUUCCGCAUCUGUACCAGCAUCUACAGAACGGCUUUGACAUCAAGCAGCACACAUGAGACGCCACACAUGGCCUUUCGUCCUCCCUCCCCAUUUGAACUUCCACAUUUCCACAGCUGCCCCAUUAAACCGAUCAGAGAAGUGUCCUCAAUCUGUUUGGUUCUGAUGCUGACGGGUUCCGUGAUGAACAAUGAGCAUAGAAGAAUGCAGACUUAUCUUAUAAGGAAAUAGUAAACUGCAAGAUAUUAAGAGACUCAGUUCCUAUAAGGAAAUACUAAACUGCAAGAUAUUAAGAGACUGAGGGACUCAGGUAUAGGCAUUUUAUCGCUAUGAAUAAAAAAUCUUAUGAAAGGUCAUGCUAUUCUCUUCUCGACCCAUACAUU